AAGAGUAGUACUGCCCGUACCGCAAACCGACACAGGUAGAUGAGGAGAGAAUCCUAAGGUGAGCGAGAGAACUCUCGUUAAGGAACUCGGCAAAAUGACCCCGUAACUUCGGGAGAAGGGGUGCUCUAUUAGGGUGCAAGCCCGAGAGAGCCGCAGUGAAUAGGCCCAGGCGACUGUUUAGCAAAAACACAGGUCUCUGCAAAACCGUAAGGUGACGUAUAGGGGCUGACGCCUGCCCGGUGCUGGAAGGUUAAGAGGAGUGCUUAGCUUCGGCGAAGGUACGAAUUGAAGCCCCAGUAAACGGCGGCCGUAACUAUAACGGUCCUAAGGUAGCGAAAUUCCUUGUCGGGUAAGUUCCGACCCGCACGAAAGGCGCAACGAUCUGGGCACUGUCUCAACGAGAGACUCGGUGAAAUUAUAGUACCUGUGAAGAUGCAGGUUACCCGCGACAGGACGGAAAGACCCCGUGGAGCUUUACUGCAACCUGAUAUGGAAUGUUUGUACCGCUUGUACAGGAUAGGUAGGAGCCGAAGAGACGUGUGCGCUAGCAUACGAGGAGGCAAUGGUGGGAUACUACCCUGGCUGUAUGACCAUUCUAACCCGCCACGCUUAGCGCGUGGGGAGACAGUGUCAGGUGGGCAGUUUGACUGGGGCGGUCGCCUCCUAAAGAGUAACGGAGGCGCCCAAAGGUUCCCUCAGAAUGGAUGGAAAUCAUUCGCAGAGUGUAAAGGCACAAGGGAGCUUGACUGCGAGACUGACAAGUCGAGCAGGGACGAAAGUCGGGCUUAGUGAUCCGGUGGUUCCGCAUGGAAGGGCCAUCGCUCAACGGAUAAAAGCUACCCCGGGGAUAACAGGCUUAUCUCCCCCAAGAGUCCACAUCGACGGGGAGGUUUGGCACCUCGAUGUCGGCUCGUCGCAUCCUGGGGCUGUAGUCGGUCCCAAGGGUUGGGCUGUUCGCCCAUUAAAGCGGCACGCGAGCUGGGUUCAGAACGUCGUG
rnacentral:rRNA from 1 species